CAAGAGUGAACUAGCUAACUGAAAUCAUAGAAUUUCUUCAAAUUCAUGAUGUCGUAAGGGAAAAUAAUGAUAAUACCUUACUAUGAGUGUCGUCCAAAUCUGGUGCCAGAAGACUCGGUAAGACCAGAGACGCAAACGUUAAUCAUCUUAAACAGGCGUAAAGGGUUUGUAGGCAGCUUUCAUCAGAAUAUAAUUGCGAAAUAAAGUAGUCUAAUUGAAAGCUAGAAUCAAAUAGAGGUUAUAGUGUAUAACGCCUAGAGGAGGGCUGAUAUCCUUAGAUCCUAGGCAGAAUACUCAGGGCGAAGGCCACUCUCCACUAAUGAUUGACGCUGAGAAACGAAGGUUAGGGUAGGAAAUAGGAUUAGAUACCCCGGUACUCCUUUCUGUAAACGAUGAAUGGUAGUCAUUAGUUUUUUAAAAUAACUAGAGACGAAGUUAACACAAUAACCAUUCCGCCUUGUGAGUACUACUGCAAAGUAGAAAACAAAAAAAUUAGUCGGUCUCGAAGCAAACGGAGUGAAGCAUGUUAUUUAAUACGAUAAUC
rnacentral:rRNA from 1 species